GAUGAACGCUGGCGGCGUGCCUAAUACAUGCAAGUCGAGCGAACAGAUGAGGAGCUUGCUCCUCUGACGUUAGCGGCGGACGGGUGAGUAACACGUGGAUAACCUACCUAUAAGACUGGGAUAACUUCGGGAAACCGGAGCUAAUACCGGAUAAUAUAUUGAACCGCAUGGUUCAAUAGUGAAAGACGGUUUUGCUGUCACUUAUAGAUGGAUCCGCGCCGCAUUAGCUAGUUGGUAAGGUAACGGCUUACCAAGGCAACGAUGCGUAGCCGACCGGAGAGGGUGAUCGGCCACACGGGAACUGAGACACGGUCCAGACUCCUACGGGAGGCAGCAGUAGGGAAUCUUCCGCAAUGGGCGAAAGCCUGACGGAGCAACGCCGCGUGAGUGAUGAAGGUCUUCGGAUCGUAAAACUCUGUUACUAGGGAAGAACAAAUGUGUAAGUAACUAUGCACGUCGUGACGGUACCUAAUCAGAAAGCCACGGCUAACUACGUG
rnacentral:rRNA from 1 species